rnacentral:rRNA from 1 species
GCUGGCGGCAUGCCUUACACAUGCAAGUCGAACGGUAACAGGUCUUCGGACGCUGACGAGUGGCGANNGNGAACGGGUGAGUAAUACAUCGGAACGUGCCCAGUCGUGGGGGAUAACUACUCGAAAGAGUAGCUAAUACCGCAUACGAUCUGAGGAUGAANNGGGGGGGACCUUCGGGCCUCGCGCGAUUGGAGCGGCCGAUGGCAGAUUAGGUUAGUUGGUGGGAUAAAAGCUUACCAAGCCGACGAUCUGUAGCUGGUCUGAGAGGACGACCAGCCACACUGGGACUGAGACACGGGCCCAGACUCCUACGGGAGGCAGCAGUGGGGAAUUUUGGACAAUGGGCGAAAGCCUGAUCCAGCAAUGCCGCGUGCAGGAUGAAGGCCUUCGGGUUGUAAACUGCUUUUGUACGGAACGAAAAAGCUCCUUCUAAUACAGGGGGCCCAUGACGGUACCGUAAGAAUAAGCACCGGCUAACUACGUGCCAGCAGCCGCGGUAAUACGUAGGGUGCGAGCGUUAAUCGGAAUUACUGGGCGUAAAGCGUGCGCAGGCGGUUAUGUAAGACAGAUGUGAAAUCCCCGGGCUCAACCUGGGAACUGCAUUUGUGACUGCAUGGCUAGAGUACGGUAGAGGGGGAUGGAAUUCCGCGUGUAGCAGUGAAAUGCGUAGAUAUGCGGAGGAACACCGAUGGCGAAGGCAAUCCCCUGGACCUGUAC